AGGUAUACUUUUAAUGAAUAGGUCCACCCACGAGAUGACAUGGCUAUUUAUCUAUAUAUAUGUUUAGGAUGUGGACGUGGCAUCGUGGUUGUUCCACCUAAGAUGAAGCUCUUAGGUCCGCAACCUACAUGGAACAGCCACGCCAUAUCAUGGGUGAUCAUUCGCUGAUAGUGUGGUU
rnacentral:pre_miRNA from 1 species